AUAAUAUCCACGAUUAGUAAAGUAAUCCAAAAGAAUCCCACACGUUUCCCAAUGACUGGACGACACACAGCAUCAGGAGCAGAACUGAACUGAGGUUUAAUUCCACAUGUCUGCUUUUAAGCAAUUCUCCCAUGCAAGGGAGACACACACAGUAAUUAAUACAGUAACCAAUAAAAUACGUGUUACCUCCCAUACAUCUCCUCCCCUCAGCAUGACACAAUCCACUUAAUCCAUGUACAGUAUUUCCCCAGUUCCUGGGAUGUACCCCAAAUACAUUGGGUACACUCCUAAAUAGGGGAUCCCCUGAUAGCUGUGAUAUGGGUGAGUAACACACUCAAAAAUCACCCAGAUAGGACCAGGGGUUCAG